rnacentral:miRNA from 1 species
UCUCUGGCCUUCUGGGGCAAUGAGAAUUACCAUCUACAAAGAGUAUUUGGUCAGAGUUAGGGAGGGGUUGAUCGGAUGUGAAGUCCUGGAUGUGAAGGAGUCAGCUCCUCCAGGAGUUGAGGGCAGGAAUGGGAGGGUUCUG